AAAAAGGGUUUGUGCCGUCCUUGGCACAAAGCGGCCUCCUUUUAGGGGGCUGUAGUGUGGAAUCGAUAUCAAGAGAUUUCGGAAACAAUAUUUUUGUUACGGGGGCUGCUUGUGAUCGUUAUUCCGGGUGCCCCA